rnacentral:rRNA from 1 species
ACGUCAAGUCAUCAUGGCCCUUACGGCCAGGGCUACACACGUGCUACAAUGGUCGGUACAAAGGGUUGCUACACAGCGAUGUGAUGCUAAUCUCAAAAAGCCGAUCGUAGUCCGGAUUGGAGUCUGCAACUCGACUCCAUGAAGUCGGAAUCGCUAGUAAUCGCGGAUCAGAAUGCCGCGGUGAAUACGUUCCCGGGCCUUGUACACACCGCCCGUCACACCAUGGGAGUUUGUUGCACCAGAAGUAGCUAGCCUAACUGCAAAGAGGGCGGUUACCACGGUGUGGCCGAUGACUGGGGUG